AGCCACUUGACGAGUCCCAAAUAGGACGAAACGCGCGUCCUGGAU
rnacentral:hammerhead_ribozyme from 1 species